rnacentral:rRNA from 1 species
CCUACGGGAGGCAGCAGUGGGGGAUAUUGCACAAUGGGGGAAACCCUGAUGCAGCGACGCCGCGUGUGGGAAGACGGUCCUCUGGAUUGUAAACCACUGUCCCCUGGGACGAAGAUGACGGUACCAGGGGAGGAAGCUCCGGCUAACUACGUGCCAGCAGCCGCGGGAAGACGUAGGGAGCGAGCGUUGUCCGGAAUUACGGGGGGAAAAGGGAGCGUAGGCGGGAUCGCAAGUUGGGUGGCAAAUCUACCGGCUCAACCGGUAGCCGCACUCAAAACUGCAGUUCUUGAGUGAAGUAGAGGCAGGCGGAAUUCCUAGUGUAGCGGUGAAAUGCGUAGAUAUUAGGAGGAACACCAGUGGCGAAGGCGGCCUGCUGGGCUUUUACUGACGCUGAGGCUCGAAAGUGUGGGGAGCAAACAGGAUUAGAUACCCUUGUAGUC